CAGGCUCGAGCGGUAACAUUUCUAGCUUGCUAAAAAAGGACGAGCGGCGGAGGGGUGAGUAAUGCUUGGGAACAUGCCUUGAGGGGGGGGACAACAUUUGGAAACGACUGCUAAUACCGCAAAAUGUCUACGGACCAAAGGGGGCUUCGGCUCUCCCCUUUAAAUUGGCCCAAGUGGGAUUAUCUAUUUGGGGAGGUAAGGGCUCACCAAGGCGACAAUCCCUAUCUGGUUUGAGAGGAUGAUCACCCCCACUGGGACUGAGACACGGCCCAAACUCCUACGGGAGGCACCAGUGGGGAAUAUUGCACAAUGGGCGCAAGCCUGAUGCACCCAUGCCGCGUGUGUGAAAAAGGCCUUCGGGUUGUAAAGCACUUUCACUCAGGAGGAAAGGUUAUUAUUUAAAACCUGCUAUCUGUGACGUUACUGACAAAAAAAACACCGGCUAACUCCGUGCCACCACCCGCGGUAAUACGGAGGGGGCGAGCGUUAUUCGGAAUUACUGGGCGUAAAGCGUACGCGCGCGGUUUGUUAAGCGAGAUGUGAAAGCCCCGGGCUCAACCUGGGAACUGCGUUUCUAACUGGCAAACUAUAGUGUGAUAGAGGGUGGUAAAAUUUCAGGUGUAGCGGUGAAAUGCGUAGAGAUCUGAAGGAAUACCGAUGGCGAGGGCGGCCCCCUGGGUCAACACUGACGCUCAUGUACAAAAGCGUGGGGGAGCAAACAGGAUUAUAUACCCUGUUAUUCCACGCCGUAAACGAUGUCUACUAGAAAGCUCGGAACCUCGGUUCUGUUUUUCACAGCUCACGCACUAAAAUAUACCCGCCUGGGGGAGUACAGCCGCAAGGUUAAAAACUCAAAUGAAUUUGACGGGGGGCCCCCACAAACAGAUGGGAGCAUGUGGGUUUAUUUCUAUGCAACGCGAAAAACAUCACCUACACUCGACAUACAGAGACUUACUAGAGAUGGUUUGGUGCCUCGGGAACUCUGAUACAAGUGCUGCA
rnacentral:rRNA from 1 species